UUUAACACCUCUGUAUUUUUUUCUACUUUUGAUGUACUGAACAUUUUUUUUAUCAUUGUCAAUUUCCCAUGUCGCCGUCUCUUAUUGCUUAUGGUUAUGUUUUAUGUUGAUUAAUGGCCAAACACAGCUUAAGUUGGUAACAGGGUGUUAUGCUGUGUCACUUGGUUAUCUUUUGCUUACCCGACUCAGAAUUCAUGGCUGUAUAAUUUGUGGGCUUUUUUUUUUUUUCUUCUUUGGCCAAUGACUUUGACCUAUGAAGGUAAACGGAAAGAACCAGCAUGGGGUGGGGAGGAGCACAUGCGUGGGGAGGAGUGCACGCGUGGGGCCUGGCAACAAACCCAUGACUUCCUUUCAGGGCUGGAAAACAAAGUGUCCAAGUUUGCAAGUGUGGAGAAUGAACUUUGCGGAGCUGCAUGACUCGCUAGGGUCAUCCCGUGGGAGAAUUAGGAGGCUGCGUUCCCUCUUCUGCUCUGAGAACAGAAUCUUUAAUAUGUGGUCAUGUUAACAGGAAAAACAUUCUAGCAAAGGGAGAAAGGACUUCUUGGUGAUUUAAAUCAAGCUUUGUCUCUUAAUGUCCUGUCCUUUCUCCAUGGUCCUAAAGCUGGGUUCUGUUUUGAGAAUCAGUGAGAAACAUGAGGAAAACAGUGAAAUGAUUAAAUUAUACUUUAGGAAGUUAGUUAAUCUAGAGGGAAUAGCCUUCAUGACUGUGGUGGGUUAAAAAUAGCACACUUUAAAUAUGUUUAUCGCUGCAUUUUAAUUAACUCAAGCUGGGUUUAGCGGCUGAGUCUUUUUUUGGACUUGCAUGGGGAAUCGAUCAUGCGUUUCUUUCUACUCUGUACUUCGAGAACACUAGCAUUUGUUUUUCUACAAAGUGACUGAGUUUUCAUGGUUGAACGUUUUGUUUGAGCUCCUGGUCGUGAUGCUGUAUAUGGUGUCCUGUGUGCUUAGUGCUCUCUGGUUCUCUGAGAGGUGUCCUUGUGCUCUACGCUGCAGUGCAAACCGUAUCAUAAGCAAUAGAAAUGUGUCUGUCACAGUUGUGGAGAUGGACAGGGUCAUGGUCAUGGGGCUGUCUGACAGAUAAGUGUCUGUGUCCUGGUUCCUUGGGGACCACCUUCUUGCUACAUACUCACAUGGCAGAGGGACAGGGAUCUAAUUUUUAAGGACACUGCUAACAUUUGUCUCUAAGCAGACAAACCUACAUUGGAUUGCUUGGAUAAUCUUGAUCUUGCUUGAUAAGAGCAAAGCGUAACUUAGAUUGUUUCUCGGGAGUGAAAGAAAAGAAAGAAAAAUGAAAACUUAGCCAGAUGUGGUGGUGAAUGUCUUUAAUCUCAGAAAUCUGGAGGCAAAGGCAGGUGGACCUCUGAGUUCAAGGCCAGCAUGGUCUACAGAGCUAGUUCUUGCUCUGUCUCUGUCUCUCUCUCUGUUUGUGUGUUUGUGUGUGUCUGUAUGUGCGUGUGCAUAUAUAUAUAUGUGUGUAUAUAUGUGUGUGUGUCUGUGUGUGUAUAUAUGUGUGUCUGUGUGUGUAUAUAUAUGUGUGUGUGUGUCUGUGUGUGUCUGUGUGUGAAUAUAUGUGUGUGUAUAUGUGUGUGUAUAUAUAUAUAUGUGUGUGUGUAUGUCUGUGUGUGUAUGUGUGUAUGUGUGUGUAUGUGUGUCUGUGUGUGUGUGUGUGUGUGAAGCUGUUAUAAUGAGACCAAUUGUUUUGUGUGCCAUUCUGAUUUUUUAAUUACAAACUAAACCAAACAAGAAGAUACCAAAAAAAAAAAAAAAAAGAAAAAGAAAAGAAAAAGAAAAAGAGGAAACCCAGCUUACGUUGAAAUUCAAAGUGAGGGAAAUGGGCAAGCCACACCCACCUCUGUCUAGCACCACCCGUUUCUCCCUAGGCCUGCAGCUCAGAGAUGCAGACAUUUUUGUUAAGUUGUGCUUUAUACCCAAGCCUAAAGCCCAUCUCUGUGUGAGAACUGUUUUCCUUGAGACGACGUGUUAACUCUUCACCUUUCCAUGCCUUGCUAUGAGGACCUGGAGUUGGGCUGAGGACUAGGUCCACCUGUUCUGCACACUGGGCAUCUGAGAAUGUAUUUGAACACUCAGGAGUGCUGUAGCAAACGUCUCCUAGCGUCCAUGUCUCCAGCAGCAGGGUCUAGUAUUUACAGUUCCUGACUGCGCCGUGAGGUUUCACGUUAGCAGCCGCUUUGUCUAAUAAAUCCUGUGUGUGAAUCUCGGGAUCGGUUAUAACUGUAACAUUGAGAAUAGGCUUCUCAAGACUUUUGAUUAUGUAUGUGAAAUUCCCAGUGUCUUUAAAGUAAUUUCUGUCUCUAAUUACUCAAAGUCUAUUUCUUUUCUAGGCAUGCAGAAAAUCCUGUCUAAAAAGUAGUGCCAAGAGAGGUUAAAUGAAACAGGCUUACAGGAAAAUAAGGGAAACUACUGUGUUUGGUUAGAAACUAAAGGGAAGUGAAAAUCAAGCUGUUAUUUUUGUUUUGCAGGAUGUUUUCAUACAAGUCUGUGUUGUGUGUUGAGUGUCUUCCCCUGCUUCCCCCCCUUUUCUCGUCUCUCCUCCUCACAUUAGCCAUUUUGUUCCCCUAUACCGUUUCAUUUCUAUUUUCAUGUCGUGUGUGUGUGUGUGUGUGUGUGUGUGUGUGUGUGCGUGUGUGUGUGCUCACUUACUAAUUUAUAUAUAUAUAUAUGUUAGUAUAUUAGUAUAUACUAUUAUAAUAUAUAUAUAUAUAUGAGAGAGAGAGAGAGAGAGAGAGAGCCCACAAAUGAAAGAAAACAUGAUAUUUAUCAUUCCAAGACUGGCUUGAUUUACUUUAUUUUAGUAUUUUCAAUUGUAUCUGCUUUCCUGCAAAUAACAUAACUUUUAUCUUCUUUAUGGUAAGAAAAAUGCCAUUAUAUAUAUAUAUAUAUAUAUAUAUAUAUAUAUAUAUAUAUAUCUUGUUUUCUUCAUCUAGUCUUCUGUCGUUGAACUCCUAGAUUGAUUCUAUAACUUAGCAGUUGAGAGUAAGACUAUAAUGAACAUUGAUGUGCAAAUAUCUCUCUGAUAUGUUGACCUGGAUCCUUGGAAUACUUAGCUUGGAAUGCUAUAGUUGCAUUGUGUGUAGACACUAAUUUUCGUUUUGAUUCUUGUGUGAGAGCUUUUCAUGGAUUGCUCAGUUAUGGCAUACGCUGUGGACUGAUUAUUAGAAGCCAAACGAAUAAAAAUUCCAUACUCAGUAGAGUAAAAUGUUUAGAGGAAGAAGUAAAAUGAGCAAGUGAUGUCUGGCAUCUAUGCAAAAGAUCCAUAUCAGGGGUGAGAUGGGGGGGAUGUCAGACCUCAUUUCUCACGAAGCCCACUGCAGGAAUAAAGCUGAUGUAGCUGACAAUGCUGACAUGGGAUUCUGGGCUCGCUGUUAUGAGCAAUAUAAAACAGGAUUUAAUAAAUGUCUGCACAUACAGACAGGAUUUAAUAAAUGAUACAUGCUUAUUGUCAAAUACAUAAACUAGUAAGCAAAAACAAUGCUGCUUUACCGGAAGAGUCAGAAAGAUUUUUAAGGGCUGAAGGUACUCAAGAAAAAGAUUAUCUGAUCUCCCUUUAAUGCCCAUCGAUUGGUGCAAGCGGCAGAUAGGCACAGGAGAAAGGCAUCUGUGAUUCUGUAACACAUUAAGACAGAAGCUAUGCACACAGGGCAGAGGCUUUAGCUUGUGGUGGGUGCUCUCUGAGCCCUCUGGCUAACUGACCCGUGUACCUGUGCAGGGAUAAUUUUGACGGCACUUUUGAAGUGUUCGGCUGCUCAGCGGGUCUCCAUGGAGUGGUGCUAGAGAGUCAAGUACUGCAGGGUACGUGGCUAUCACCAGCCCUGAGCUUGACAGAUGGUUGUUGUGUCUGUUUCUUCAGUGGCUUCUCCUUUUCCACUUUGGUUUGCUAUCAUUAAUCAGUUGGGUGGUCUGAUGGAUGCUGGUUCGGGGACAGUUUCAUUGAAUCCGUUCUGACAGAGAUAAAGGACAAGUGUUUGUCUUUAACACCCUUGUUUCAGAGCCUGCCAGGUCGAGUCCAGCUUUUGUCCUCUAACCAGCCGACUUUGGAUUCCAUCUUCCUAUUAAAUGUACUUAUUUGUUGAUUGAUUAAGAAAAAAAAAUUUCGGCCCUCAUUCCUAGAACCACACCCCGACUUAGUCAUGUUGAUUUUCCUUAAUGACUUUUUUCUUUUAUAGCAGCCUUCUCCUUUGUGCAAACCCAUGCCCCUCCCUUUUCUGUUUAUUUCUGAGAUCGUUAAUUUAAUUACAGCAUUUCUCCCAUCCCUUUCCUCCCAAACCCUUGACUAUGCCCCUCCCCCCACCUCCUUCAAAUUCCUGGCCCUUUUUUUUCAUUAAUUGAUUUUACCUGCUUAUUCUUAUUAGUAUAUACAUCUCCGACUGUAACCUGUUGAGUCCAUACAACGCUACUUGUAUGUGUGUUUUAGGGGAUGACUGCGUCACACUGGACAACCAGUUAGCAUCUUCUUCUUCCCUGGGGAGGAUCACCUCUCCUGCUCCCAGCUUCCCUCAGCUGCCUAUAGUUGUUUGCACAGGGUUGAGGCCUCAUGGCUUCCCUCACCCAGCUUCUCACCGUCUUUGGUGUCAUCUUCAGUUCAGCUCAUACUUGGGCAGUCAUGUUGGUGUGAUUUUAAAUGUAUGUGGCUUCUGAUGUUAUGAGGAGACUGACUCUCACAGCAAACUCCCUGAGGCUCUGGCUCUCAUGGCCUCUCUGCCUCUUCUUCCACAAUGUUCCUCGAGCUCUAGUUGUAGGGCUGCCCUAUAGGUAUAUAGUCUUUAAACCCACACCUAAGUGUGGUCAGUCUUUACCCCUCAUUGAGGAAACUGCUCUUUGCAACAAACAGCGAUCACUAUGGAAAACGCAGAGUUGUGAAGCCCACAUUUAGUUUUUAAGCUACAGAAAACCCUGCAAACACUGUUUUGAUGCAGGAACAAUUCCCACAGACUCAACAUCUUAAAACAUCAGAUUAUUUCACAGCUUGCCUGGCUGAGUAACCUUGCCACAGCUUAGAGGUUUCCCUGAUGAGACUGGAAGGCUUCGUUUGCUUCAGGUGAUGCUGGGCUCUGCUUUAAUCGGAGUCUGGGCCUCAGUAGCUGUUGACAGAGUUCUUUUCAUUCUGUCCCUACACAGUGACUUGAUUCCUCAAGGCCACAGAGAUCUUCCCUUCCAGGGACAUCCUUUAGUAUCCCAUGCAAAGGGCUUACUUGAUUCAGCCUGACCUGUCUGCCCUAGGCUAUUUUCCUACUGAUGAACCCAGGGUGUACUGAUUAGAGACUUAAUUAUGUGAUCCUCUCCUACUUUUGACAUGUAGUAUAAUAUAGUCAUAAAAUAACAUUGUGUCAUAUUCACAAGUCAUUCCUCACAGGAAUGAGGAAAAGACUUAGAGUUAUAGACUGUGUGUACGGUUGAGUGCACUGCUUUGUGAAGAUGGUGUUGGUUCCUCUUGUGCUUAUGAGAAGAAAAAGAUCUGGAGGAUGUGAUCAUCUUCUUAGCAUGGUGUGUGUGUGUGUGUGUGUGUGUGUGUGUGUGUGUGUGUGUGAUCUUUGUGUGUCUGUCUGUGUGUGUGUGUGCACUCAUGUGUAGUCAAGAGACAUCAGUGAGGUUGCCAGCAGUAGGGUAUCUUACAGAAUAUUAUGAAGAUGUGGAAAGCCGCGAUAGCAUUCGCCACUACAAGAUGGCGCUGGCUUCCGCUGUGCCAGCCCGACUUCCUUUCAGGAAACUAGCUGUGUGCGCAUGUGCAAGAGUGUGUUUGCGCCAAGUCUUUGCCCACCCCGGGGCGUGCCAAUGAGAUCAUGGAUAAGCGACCAAUCAGGCGUGGACACGCCACAUUAGGGUGUAUAUAAGCAGUGCCAUUCUGGGGCUCAGGGUCUCCUCUUCAAGAUGCAAUAAACGCUUUGCUGCAGAAGGAUCCUGGUGUCUGUGAGUCGUUUUUUUUUUUUUUUUUUUUUUUUUUGGUUUUUUUUUUUCGGAGCUGGGGACCGAACCCAGGGCCUUGCGCUUCCUAGGUAAGCGCUCUACCACUGAGCUAAAUCCCCAGCACCCCGUGAGUCGUUCUUGCUGGCAAGACGUUGGGCGCGCGACAUGAAGAGGCCACCUACAAGAGGUGGUUGAUUUCCCCGUUCUUAGGAUUUUUUCAUAGAAUAAUCCGAUCACUAUUUAAACACCACCACUCAGUCAAUGCACAGUUGAAUGUGCAGUGACUUGAUUCUUCAAGGCCACACAGAUCUCUCCUUCUGGGGACAUUCUUUAGGAGCCCUUGCAAAGGGCUGACUUGAUUUGGCCUGGUAGAGAAGGACCCACACCUCUGGUCUUUAUCUCUCUAAGGCUCACUAAUGUUUUCCUUUGUCAGUGACAGAGUUGUCAAGUCUCCAAGUAUCUUCCCCUUUCGUCCCAUUUAUUUGACACAACUUUUUAUAUUAAGCAAUAGGUUUCAAUGUCUGUUUUAUUUUUGUGAAAAAAAAAAUCUGGUGACCGAAAACCAUUCUUGAAACAGUGACAGAAAUGAAGAGUGAGUUCUGAGGACAUUAUGUCACUUAUGUCACUUGUUAGCUUUUAUGAUGAAUUACAAAAAAUUGUUAAGUGGUUUAAACUGAUCAUGUGAAAGAUGGUUUUUCUGUGAGCUUACCCACAUUUAAUUCAUUUGGUUUAUCAAGACCCACGGUGAACAUGUAGCGUUAAUGAAGUAGUUGAAAUAUAUUUUAUCUUUGAAAAUGUGCUUGUUCAGGGAAUUAUUUGGAAUUGGAUUGUGUGAACAGUGAUCUGUAACACUGACAUUAGGGCGGCUAGGACAGUAGGAUCAAGAGUUCAGGACCAGUGUAGGUGACACUGACUCUUGAGCCCACUCUAAGCUCUGUGGUGAAACUGGCUUAAAAAUGGAUUGGGUUUAUUCAAUCAGGUUAUACUAGGAAUAUACCUGCAUAUACAUAUAAGCAUAUAACAACAAGUAAUAAAGAAGAGGUCAUGGAUUUGAAAUUGGGCCAGGAAGGUCAUGUGGGAGGAUUUGAAAGGAGCCAAGGAAAGGGAAAUGAUGUAACCAUAUAAUAAUCUCAAACAUAAAAUAAAUAGUUCAAAAUGAGUCGGAUUUGGUUGUGGCUGUCAGUAAAAUUCAAAUGAUAAGAGCUUAACCAAGACUGAGGCUUGUUUUGUCUUCUGGAUGUAGGCAUUCAAUGCCUCUAAUGGCAGGUGGUUCAUUCUCCUUGAGGUUUGUGAGGUGUUUGUGUGGAUGCCUUAACUAUCUAGGGUCUUUCUUCUCUGGGGCAAUCCUUCAGAUCCCCACGCCAGCCACUUCAAGGGAGGAGAGACAGAGUGUGGUCUUGCCCUUAAGGGUCUUUCCUUUGCUUUACCGAAUGUUCUGCUUAUAGCCCACUGGCCUGAAUGUCACAAAGCUUUACCUCUCUGUAACAAAAGCAGAAGUUUAUGCUUUUGUUCUGUGAACCCAUCUGCUCAGGGAGGACAACAAAUAUUUGGGGACAAAGCCAUCUUUGCCCUUCCAAGUCUAAGGUGACCUACUCAUGUUACCCACAGAGUGUCAGUGUGUACCCACAAUGGGAUGUCUGUAACACAGCCCCUCCCAGGAAGAAGGGACAGAAAGACUGUAAGAGCCAGAGGCUGGGGUGGCUUGUACUGCGGCGGUGUCUUCUAGACAUGACAGGGCAGCUGCACCUGACCUUCUAGCAGUUGUGCAAACGACCUGCACCAGAUCAAGCUGGUCAACAUUCUAGAACGAAGAGGGAAAAGGUUCAGAACCCUCUGCAGUUUAUGAGAUGCUGUGGUGUCUAGGAAAGAGAGAGAGUGAGUUUCUUCACAGGUGUGGUCCCUGGUAGGUGUGACACACUCCAGUAGAUGGCCCCGUACUGAGGAGUAUGUGGGCAGUGUGGGGGUAAUUAAAAAGAGGGCACAAAAUUGGGUCAGUAAGAAGGUGGGGUGGACCUGGGAGGAGUUACAGGGAGGAGUGAAAGGUGAAUAUGAUUGAAAUACGUUGUAUGAUAUUCUCAAAUAAUUAAUAAAAUGUUUUAAAAGAUACAACGUAACACAUGCUGAAACAUUUACCUAAGGAUUUUUUUGAGCCAUUCUGUUUCCUAAUUUACAGAAUCUUCACAAAAGGAGCCCAUUAAUGUUAAUCAAUGAUUUAGAGAUGCAAGCGAAGACCGCUGUCAGUGAUCUAUCUGACUUAACAAAUAUCUAGUUGGUCAAAUCCCACAGUGGAUUUUACACAGGGUCUUUGCAUGCCUGCCUGAAAGAUAGCAUGCAAGGUAGGGUAGGCCUGAUGGAUCAACGUGAGGACAGCUGCAAGUCACCUGCUUACUCGACCUUUAAACUGUUCCUAAUUAAGAGCUUGUUUUGAAGUUCGCAGCAUAGGGUUAUCAGGACCAAAAUUUUCAUCAUCUGUGGGACAAGCUUCAGAACCCCUUCUCAAUCUACACUUUCUGACUUGGCUCCCUGUCUGCAAAGCCAAGAGGUCCCUUUUCCCGCCACUGUGUAUCUGUUUUGCCAUUCUGAGAACUGCCGCGUUCUUUCUGGAUUUCUUAAACCACUGGGAGGGCUCUGAAUGUCCAUUUCCUUAAUCCACCCAUUCUAGAAAGUCUCUAAUUAUACACUAUGCUUUAGCAACACCAAAUGAUUCAGAGGACAAAGGAGAGGCUCUGUGAUACAUUCUAAGUUUUAACUACAUAAUAUAAACAAUAACCAAAUAGGUGUGUGUUAAUAUUGACGUAAUCACCAUCCAAAGGCUGCAGGAAGAGAGAGCCGGCUGCAACUAGGAGCUGUGCCUGCAAAUUAGAUUUGAAGAAGGUAAAUGCAUAAAGUAAAACGAUCCUCUGAAGGGUCUUACAUGCACCGAGCACAUAGUUAAAUUAAACCAGAACCUGUGUAACUCUUGGAGAUCUAGUCUACAGUCCAUACAAGGUAGGACUGCUUCCCACACCACACUACAACUAUUUGUGGUGGCUGAAAACUAUGUUAUAGAGGAGAUCCUCACACUUUUCUUCCUAAAAUAAAAUCUAAAGUAAAACUGAGGACGUCUUUCUUUUCCAGCAAGUGGAGAGGAGCUCCAUUCAGUCUGAUCCAGCUGCUGUCAGCUAUGACUGAAAUCCUAAAUCCCCAUCUUUAUCACUUUUAAAGUAGGGUCAAUUUCGGUGCUCACAUAGACACAAAGGGGCACAAUUCAUUUAAAUACUCGGUGUGUGUUCUGGUAUGCCAUGUGCACAAUAUGCCACCUUAACACAGAAGGAAAGUUUGAAUGUAGCUACGACUUCAUUGCUGGGUUCAAAGUGGAGAAGGUGCGAACUCACAGGUCAGAUUAAAAAUACAAUGUAACCCUUAUUACCACCCAGUGUGAAAUAAAAAUGUAACAAGUCUCCUGUCCCAUUUAGUUUAACAAGCCUUGUUACCCAGGUGCUUUUGUUUUCAUUCUGUGUGAUGAGAAGUCGAGAAGAGAGGCCAGGUUCAAUGUGGGAGUCAAAGGGAGGGGUGCAGGGAGAUUGCGCAACGUUACUCCGCCUAAAUGCCAUUCUAAUCUCCAAAACCUCACUUUGAGCCUGCUGUGAUACAUUUUCCUCUUGGUACAGCUGGCUGCACCAUAUCAGUUCCAACCUAGUGAAACCUGAAAACUUGGGCGUUAACCUUUCAUUUGAUCAAAAGAUAGAAAUCUAACCCGGUAGGACAAAGAGACAUUGGGUAAACUUUGCCACUCACCCAUCAGUGUGUAGCAGAAUGAUGCCAAUCUGUCAAAAAUGACAAAACGUGGGUCUCACCCCAAUUCUAGCUGGAUCAGAAUCUGAUUAAUGUCAAGACCCCCAGAGAUGCCCUUAGGUGAGGUAGGGUGAUGGACUUCAUUGCUUCAUCCAAUGUAAUAAAAAUGAUGUUGUGGGAACAGAUGAAGCUAAGUGAAGUAUAUUGUUGACGUUAGCGAAGCCAUGUCAAGGAGACAAUGCUUCAGACCCUGGGGGAUGGCAAGACCUUCCCCUUGUUCUACAGAUGAUAAUGUGAAUCAACCACAGUUCCUUCCUUCCAGAUCACUUCAGUAUGAGACUGCUCCACCACAAACCCUCCACCAAGAUUAGCUAGUCUGCCUCCUUCAUACAGCAGAUGCGUGGAGUUCCUGGGCUGCUGGUGCACCAUCAGAACACACUGCCCACCCCCACUGUUUGCUCCGACGAUGCCAGCCCUCAAGAUGCCCGCCCUGAUGAUGCUCACCCCAAAGAUGCCUGCCCCGACGAUGCCUGCCCCACUAUGCCUGCCCCCACACUGUUCACUCCCACAUUGCCCAACUUCUGCUUUUCUGUUGUGUUUGUCAUUUCUUCAAUUUCCAUUGGCCCAGUAGGUCAGUCCCAAAGGCAUGCGGGUCCUGUCGUUGGAUGUUUCCUAAUUCUAGUUUAUUGAUUGUAACCUUUGGCCAUGUUUUAGUGUGAGCAAAGACCGUCUCUUUUACCAUCGUCAACCCAAAUCUUACUUCUUUACCUGUGACCAAGUACUCAUGGGCUUACAUUACACCCUUUGGGCUCAGAGACAGGGAGGCUCUGUUCCAAGUCUUCCAGUUCCCUCACUGAAAACUAGAAUUAACCAGUUCAAUCAUUUGUAAAACGGGGAUAGAUAAUGUUAAUACUAUUUUCAUGUUUAAUCUUCCAGUGGAUCUUCCAAUGUACAACACAUGUGCUUCUGGGUGGGCAGCUCAUUUUCCAAAGUUCUCUGGGUGGCUGUCUUCAGGCAGCCUCUCAGUGAAUCAUAAUAUUCAGAAUUCAUGCAACUCAAUGUUGUGCAGCUUUUUUUUUUUUUUUGGAGACUUAUUUUCAGAAUGAGGAAGCAUUUCUCAGUUUCUAUUCCUCAAGUUGGCUGUGCUUGGCUGUGUUCUAGUUCAAGAGACAAGGUUCUUGUAAAGAGAAGAUGCUUCUCCCAUGGGACUGUUGUUGAAGAAACCCUUGCACACACAGUAAGCUUGUGGUACACAGCAGACUUUGCCUUUGUGUCUAGUGUCUCAAAGCGAACCGUGCAUGGACAUUUCACACAGGGGCCCAUCCUGCUCGUGAAUUUGCUCAUCAGAAAGAAGUUGUAUCCAGUUUGGAUGGCCAUAGUUGACCACGAGUCCCUGUGGUUUUGUGGAGCAUUUUCGGGCUCUAUGCCCAGGAGUGGUAUGGUUGAGUGUUGAGUUAGAACUAGUCCCAAUUUUCUAAGAAAUAGCCAAAUUGAUUUCCAAAGUGGUUGUGUAAGUUUGCACUCCCAUCAGUAAUGAUGGAGUGUCCCCCUUGCUCCAGAUCCUCCUCCUCGGCAUAAACGGUCACUUGAGUUUUUGAUCUUAGCCCUUCUGACCGGGGUUAGAUGGAAUUCAGAGUCAUUUUGAUUUGUGUUUCCCUAAUGACUAAGGAUGUAGAACAUUUAUUUCUUUAAAUGCUUCUUAGCCAUUAGAGAUUCCUCUGUUGAGAAUUUUGGCUAUCUGGCUCUGUACCCCAUGUGGGUCCCCAAAGCAAUUAUGGUGGGGCUGUCUCUGACUGUUGACUGCCUUUGGAUCCCUCUCCCCUAACUGGGCUACCUUGCUGGUCUCAGUGGGAAAGGAUUCACCUAGUUCUGACGUGCCAGAGUGGGCGGUACCCACGGGGGCGGGGCUUCCCUUCUCAGGGAAGAAAGGGAAAGGGGUGGGGGAGGAGAGUGUGAGGGAGAGACUGGGAGGAGAGGAGGGAACAGGGCUGUGAUUGGGAUGUAAAGUGGAUAAUAAAUAAAUCGAGGAAAAGAAAAAAGGAAGGAAGGAAGGAAGGAAGGAAGGAAGGAAGAAGGAAGAGGAAGAGUUGUAGAGAUUCCCUCUUGUCCUUGUUAGAAUUUGAAAUCCCUCUGCCUUCCUAACUUACCAACACCACAGAAUAGCUUUUCCUAGAAAUACACGGAUUUCUAAGGACCAAGAGCAUGAUUGAUCAUGUGUUUUUCCCUAAAGAAUGUCUGGUUCUGGCCCCUCCCCUCGCCUUUGUUUGAACCUAAUAAUACUAGAGAUCAUAAAAGUAUUCAGAUAUCAAACUCAACUUGUACUUUAUAGGUGAAUAAUUUACUAUAUCGAAGUAUUGACUUUAUCACGCAGCAGUUUUAAAGAGAGGGGGAAAUCUAUUAAUAUUUAGAUAUCAUGUGUUUUGCACUCCAUUUUUGUCUCAGUCAACAUCCUUGCCCUACUUCUGCUAAUGCCUGUCAUCUGUUUGUUUGUUUGUUUGUUUGUUUGUUUAAUUUUCAGUUUUGUUUCUUGGUUGGUUGGUUGGUUUUUGUCCUUAGUCUUGAAGAAAAGGAAAAUGAUGUUCAAAGCCAAUUCCACUGCAGGAGCUGUUACUGGGCAAGCAUUGCUCCCUGGUUAAUUCCCUAAAUGAGACUCACUGUGCUUUAUGGUCUCUCUGGCCCGGUGCAUCGGCACUGUGAUUCAGAACCACUUAAAGUCCCCUUUGUUGGAAGGGAGGUAAUACAUCACCAAACACAUUCCCAAGGUUUCAUGUCUCACCUUUCAAGUUGGAUGGCUCUACCCUGCGACAGAUGUAUUAAUCAGAGAAUCUUAGGUGUGAUCGUCAGUAAGUGAUGCCUCUGCCUUUUCUCAAACAAGAAGAUGCACGAUGACUUGAAUCCCUUGUGUUGUCGGCAGCACCACGAGACACUGAAUAUGCCAUCUCUGCCUGCUGCCCAUUGGAAAGUAACCUAGGUGACAGCCCCCCCCAAAAAAAACAAAAACAAAAACAAAAACAAAAACAAAAAAAACCAAAAACAACAACAACAACAACAAAAAAAAAACCAACCAAACAAAAAAAAGACAAAACCAAAACCAAAACCAAAAAAACCCCAUACCCUCUGAUUUUAGUCAGCCAGUUCUCUAUUUUUUAUUUCUAGGAAUUAAAGAUUACUUUUAAAAGAAAUGAUACAUGUCAUUUUAUUAAUUCUUUGAUAAUUUCAUACGUACAUGCAAUAUAUUUGACCAUGUUCACCUUCCCUAUCUACCUGUGGAGCCUUAAUGUCUUUUUGAAACUUAAGUGAGAACUGAUGGGCUGCAAAUGACAUCCCUGGUGUUAAGAAGGGGAGAGCUAAGGUAGGGAGGAAGCAAGCCCGGGUGAGAUGCUUUCCUUGGCAUUGUUUUAGAGAUAUUUGGCAGUAGUCUUCAAAGGAGACGUGUCUAUCUUUCUUGGCAUGGCUCUUGUUUACUUGUCUUAGAGCCCCACCUUUUACUGGGGGUAGCGUUUUCUUCAGUAUGCUGGGCAACUGAGCUGAAACUUCCCACAGCGCCAAACUCUCCGGCCAAGUCAGAAGCAAGUUAAGUCUGGUUGUUCUUCCAUCAAGGAGAAAAAUAAUAGCCAAAGGAUUGCCUGGCAAUACAGUGCUGGUUGAUAUGCCGAGGCAAGCCUUAACAAUUUGAGUGCUCCAAAGUUGUGAUAAUUCACUACAAAACUAUAAGCCCCAGGGCGAUUUGUUGCUCUUCAUAAUUUGAUGAUAAUGCCAUUUUGCUGGGGGGACAACACCUACUUGUCAUCAAAUAUAGACAGGUCAAGCUGGUGUCCAACUAGAAGCUUCACCCCUAGUAACUAGCAUUCUUAGUACUAGAAGGUACUCUGCCGGAGGAGAAAGGUCAUCAAUGUCACCCAUCUACAAACCCUGCGACCUGCAACAGUGACUGGCUGUAUGCCGGUGUACUGGUGGCACAAACGUAGGAGUAACCAACCACUUUUAGAUGGAAUGUAAGACCUGCUCCAUGAGAUGGGACUCAUACCCGGUAUUGCUAAAGUGGCCAAGAAUUCGAUACUAGACAGGUCAUGGGCCUAGGGGGAAAUCUAUUACUGUUAUUCUGCUAAAGAAACGUAACAAUGUACAGACUCCUGCUGACAGACUGCUGUAUCUGUAGAUCAAUGCAUCGUCCAAGCUGCAGCACAAAAGCUUCUUCUUGCAAGAGACGGAAACUGACACAAAGGUCCACAGCUGGACAAGGUGCAGAGACCUCAGAGAAUUUGAAGCACUCAGCCCUGCAGGCGUAAUGUUCUGUGUGCACUGUGUAACGAAUAUCCGUGUAUUAAUAAUGCCGAUUUCUCUACCCCUGUAUCUGGUUACAAUCCAGACGAGAAAUCAUCGUAACGCUUAGUUUACGUUUCUCCCGUUUCAAGUUUGUGUAAACACUGCUCCCAUUUAUUCGCUGACUUGCGGACAAAAGCCUAUCAGCCAAUGGCUGGGCAGAAGGGAAUAGGACCCGCCUUCCACCAGCCAGGGGGAGGGGACAGAGAAAGAGGGGAUUUGCCAUGAGUAAGAAGUCCAGAGAAAAACAUCAUGGAAAAACACCUGAAGCCCAGAAAGCCAGACCAAUAAUAAAAUGCAAAUAUCUCAGGGAUUUUUGCUGAGGUAACCAAGAUUAGAGGAUUAGAAUAGAUUAUUAACCACCCAGUGACUGAGUCAUAAUGUUUAUCAAAUAAAUCUCACAGUCUCUGUUUCAUUCAUCUGGGAACUAGCCAGGGAAAAAGAAAACUGCCAUUUAAAAAAACAUAUUUACGCCGUCCUAAGGGGGUAUCUGUAGGCUUAGAUUCUUUUAAAAAUCCACUUUUAAUAAGGGUUUUUAAAUGCUCCCUUCUGGCCUACCAUAGGUAGUGGAAAAGAAAGGUUAAUAAAACAAAAGAAGAUGAGGACCUGUGUAGAAAUAUUUUUUUGGAGCAAAAUUAAUCAGUGUUGUCAGGAUAUCAGCAGUUAAGUUCACAUGAGUCUUCAGUGGGGUUCAAUCCACUCGCAAACACUAUUCAGGAUUUGGCAAUGGUGGGUCGAUCCAGAAGAAACCUUGAAGCUCUGACAAUUGGCCUGAGUCUGAGAAGUGGCAAGAAGCCACCAGAAGGUUGUUCAGCGUGUUUUUCUCUGCGAAGUUAUGACAAGCGAUGGCCAGCAACGAAGGGUAAGGCGAGCCAAUGCCACACAACAUCGUCCGCUGUCUGUUGGGUUAUACUCGUAUCUUUUGCAAACCGCAUGCUCUCUCAAGCAAAACAUCACAGGCCAGGCCAUUUUUUUCAGGCUGCUUCCAGAAAAACACCGUGUGCCUGUUCUCAGCAAAACAUCCUCCCACGUCACGUGCCUGCUUUGGCAAAAAAAGUCCUCUCCUAAGACAGUUUCCAGAAAAAAAUUGCGUGAUACAUCUGAGUCUUCAAACAAAACAAAAACGUCCAAUUCAGGUGUCUUUAUCCAGUCCUUCUCCUUGAGAGGCAGGGGUCCAUCUAGAAGAAAUGGCAAAAAGGGUGUAAAAGCCAGAAGUGGUGGAUGACUACAAGGAAACUGUCUUCAAUCAUAACUGACUGAUGUCACACAUAUGAACUCACAGAGUCUGUGGUAGCACACAUAGGACCUUGCACAAAUUCAUGUCUGAUGGAGCCCCAGCACUGAGGAGGGGAGUCCUCACUAACACAAAGUUCCAUUCUUAAUCGAGAAGUUAUCUGUGCUUGAUUCCUGAUGGCAAAGGAAAAACCGCUUUUCCAAUGGAGUGUGGUGGUCUAUAUCAACCACACUCCAGGGCGGGUCCCAUAUCCAGAGUAGUUAGCCAACACAGAACAAACUCCAUAUUUUUUCAGGGUUUUAAAUUUCAUUUUAGCAUUAUUUUUAUCUAAUUGGUUGUUUUAUUUGUUUUUCUUUUUGAGAAAGAAGAAGAACACAAAACUGUGUGGGAAAAGAGGUGGGAAGAACCAGGGAGCACAUUGAGAAGAAAAAUGUGAUGAACAUAAAUUGUAUGAAAAGGUUUAAAUAAUUAAAAACAUAGAUAAACUGUCAAUGGACAUUUUUACUUUACUGAAAGUGUUGUAUUUUCAUUAGUCGUUAAUAGCAACUUUACUUUCUAACAGAAACCAUAAAUACUAAAGGUAUGCUUCAAGGCCUUGUGUUUUUAUUUGUAGACCCACAUUUUAAGAUAGAAAUUUUUGUGUAGGGCCCAAAUACAGUGGCCAGAUGCACGGGCUUCCGGGAAGAUUUAUACAAAGGUCUCUUUGACCGAGAUCUCUCUGGGAUUGGAGACUUCAUAAGGCCAAGGAUCUUUGAUCUAUGCCCUUGUACGUAUGCCUUCAAAUUGCCUGACAUAUUAUUAAAACGAAACUAUAGGAGCGUUUGCUUGUUUUUGUUUUUUCUUUCUGUGCAUGGAUUUUCUUUUUCAGCUAGUGUUUUCACACAAAAAGAGGCAGUGGCUUUUUGAAGGACAGUUAGGCUCUGCAGGCUAAGGUGUGCAGGAGAGACAAGACAUUCUUCAGAACUCCAGCAUGCUUGACUUCCUGCUCCCAUUGCCUUGCUCACAAUUUUCAGUGAAAUCAUUUAUGAAAUGAUUUCCUUAAUUAAUGAUAAAAAUGAGACCAGAAGUAUAUCUAGUAUUAAAUAUUUUAGUAUUGCCAUAAAAGAAUUCUCAGUAUUCAGAGCUGAAAAGGGAAGGGGGAGGGUCAUUAUAUUCUUUUGUUUUGUUGUUGUUACUGUUAUUAAUGCGUGUGUUGAGGGAGAUGCUCACGUGUUACCACACACACAUGGGGCCAGGAGACACUUAAGUGAAGUAAAAAGCCUGGGGGUGGGGCAUGGAGUUUGUUCUGUGUUGGCUAACUACUCAGACGUGGUGGCUGACCCUGGAGUACGGUUGAUACAGACUGUCACACUCUACUGGGGAAAAAGCGAUUUCCCCUUUACCAUCAGGAAUCCAUUGCAGAUAACUUCUUGGCUAGGGGCGGGACUUUGUGUUCACCUCUCUCCUCAGUGCUGGGGCUCCAUCAGAAAGGAACUUGUGCAAGGUCCUAUGGGUGGUACCACAGACUCUGUGAGUCCAUAUGUGUGACAUCGGUCCAGUUAUGCCUUGAAGACAGUUUCCUUGUAUCACCCACCACUUCUGGUUCUUACGCUCCUUUUUGUCUUCUCUUCUAGAUGGAUCCCUGAGCCUUGAGGGGAGGGGUGUGAUGAAGACGUCAAUUGAACUCAGGUCAUCCGGCUUGGGUGGCAGAGGCCUUUACCCGCUGAGCCAUCUCUCUGGAACUAGACUUUGUUGUUGCUAAAGUUUUCAGUUGAUUAAUAUCUUUCAUAUUCUGUGACCUGCAACCAUCAAUAAAUUUCACCAGUGCCAAAA